AUGGACGCUGAUCACAGUAGCCCCUCGGAAGAUGUUAGGCAAAGCCGAGAGAUGUCGAUCCGCGUACCUAGAACACGAGUCGGAACCGAGUUGCCAGAUGACUCCACACAGGAGAAGGAAGAGGAGGAUGAGGAGGAGGAGCCCUUGAGCCCAACCUCAAGGCUCAUGGAGGGUAUCUAUAUCGUCGUCAUGAUCGGCUUCGGCACGCCCUUAAACCUACCGCUGUUCCGUGCCGGCUUCGAGGCCCAGCUUCGCCAUUACCCGCGCUUCCGCAACAUCCAAACCCAUGAUAGCAUGGUAGAAUGUGGUAAGAGUAAUGAUGCUACAUGGGGUAACAAAUUGGGCUACAUCAUCCUUCCAUUUCGUAUAGCCAUGCACGAUGAUCAAAUUGCAUAUAUCCGUGAAGCAAAGAAGAUGGCGGAGCGGAAAAGGAGGUCACUUGAAGUUAUUAUGACACAAAAGAUGACCGAAAUUUUCCUCAAAUGUUUUGGUGUAAAGGUAUAUUUCAUGAACUGCACAAACUUUGAACAUGUUUAUAUCUCGUCACUUCCAUGUUUCUACUUGCACUGCAUUUAUCCAUCAAAGCAGGCAACAUCCUUUAUCGUGCACCGCAUGCUCGGAAAUACGACAUUAUUGUUCUCCAACAUGAUUGGACCAGUUGAACGGAUAGACUUAUGGGGGCACACGGUUACCUUCAUUGCACCUAGCGUCUACGGGCCAGGAGAGGGCCUAAUUCUGAACUACCAAAGUUAUAGCAGCACUAUCAAGGUAGUUCUAUCGUUUGAUGAGGAAAAGCUUCCAGAUCAUCGCCAUCUUCUGGAUGACUUUGUAGAGUCUCUCAGGCUCAUUAAAGAUGCGGCUUCAAAGCUUACAGAGUCGAGCAAGCAUGAGUCAUUAUACAAAAGUUGGAUGAGUGCGCCACAAGAUACACGUACACAUGUGUGCGAUCAAUAUCACUGUGUAUACCACGUGAUAGAUACUAGUAUACCUAUGUGGUGCAUGUAUUUGGUACUAGAGUAUCUUAGUCCAGAAAUCGAUUAA
rnacentral:rRNA from 1 species